rnacentral:lncRNA from 1 species
UACGUUUGUUUUUUUUUUUAAUUAUAAGGUAUAUGGAAAUGUAAUUCAUUAGAAUAAUGGUUUAUUUAGUAUGAACAACUUUCCUUGAAGGAAUAACAAUUCAAACUUUUGAGAGGAACCAUUCCUUUAGCUUUUUUCUGGUACAUAUAACUCUCUUUCCAGUUAUAGCUCAUAAUAAUAGUAAUAUUUUACUGAAUAAGGUGCAUAUUUUUUUUUUCAUUUUGGAAGGUUGGUUCGAAAUGGCAUUAGUAGUCAAGUUUUUUUUUUUUAUAAUUGAGGGAGGGGGGAUUCGAACCCUGUUCUUUAGGCAAGAGGAUAAUGCACCAACCAAUAAGUCAAAU